CCCAGACUCCUACGGGAGGCAGCAGUGGGGAAUAUUGGACGAUGGGGGGAACCCUGAUCCAGCGACGCCGCGUGAGUGAAGAAGUAUUUCGGUAUGUAAAGCUCUAUCAGCAGGGAAGAAAAUGACGGUACCUGACUAAGAAGCCCCGGCUAACUACGUGCCAGCAGCCGCGGUAAUACGUAUGGGGCAAGCGUUAUCCGGAUUUACUGGGUGUAAAGGGAGCGCAGGCGGCCUGCCAGGUCUGGUGUGAAAACCCGGGGCCCAACCCCGGGCCUGCAUUGGAAACUGGCGGGCUGGAGUGUCGGAGGGGCAGGCGGAAUUCCUAGUGUAGCGGUGAAAUGCGUAGAUAUUAGGAGGAACACCGGUGGCGAAGGCGGCCUGCUGGACGAUGACUGACGCUGAGGCUCGAAAGCGUGGGGAGCAAACAGGAUUAGAUACCCCUGUA
rnacentral:rRNA from 1 species